AGAACGAACGCUGGCGGCAUGCCUAACACAUGCAAGUCGAACGCCUGUAGCAAUACAGGAGUGGCGCACGGGUGAGUAACGCGUGGGAACCUGCCCUGGAGUGGGGGAUAACCGAGAGAAAUUUCGGCUAAUACCGCAUACGACCUGAGGGUGAAAGAUUUAUCGCUCUAGGAGGGGCCCGCGUCGGAUUAGCUAGUUGGUGGGGUAACGGCCUACCAAGGCAACGAUCCGUAGCUGGUCUGAGAGGAUGAUCAGCCACACUGGGACUGAGACACGGCCCAGACUCCUACGGGAGGCAGCAGUGGGGAAUAUUGGACAAUGGGGGAAACCCUGAUCCAGCAAUGCCGCGUGAGUGAUGAAGGCCUUAGGGUUGUAAAGCUCUUUCGGCGGGGACGAUGAUGACGGUACCCGCAGAGAAGCCCCGGCUAACUUCGCGCCAGCAGCCGC
rnacentral:rRNA from 1 species